rnacentral:lncRNA from 1 species
GGCUAAAAAUAAAUGUUUUGGUGCGCAGUUUUGUGUAUAGAGCUACUAUGCUAUCGAAAGUAUAGAAAAUUUAAUGUAUCCGACUUUUUAACCCUUGGUUCAAUAAUUGUAUGGUUGGAUGAUUGCGGUCCUUCCUAUGAUUGAAUAGUCUCCACAGAGUAAUAGUAUUAAUUCAAAUAUUAUAAAUAAUCAAAAGAUUGAUCUAAAAGUCAAAAAGUCGGAAGCGGCAGAUUCUCUAUAUUUCUAAUAGUAUAAUAACUCUACUCGAAAAUAAUUGGCAUAUUUU